GCGUGAGUAGCAAAAAGGUUAAUGCGUAAGGUUUAGGAUUUUACAUUAAGAGUUCGAGUCUCUUUUUAAUUU
rnacentral:tRNA from 1 species